rnacentral:misc_RNA from 1 species
UGUGUGUGUGUGUGUGUGUGUGAUCUACUCUAAUUUGAUUAACAUGUUCUUCUCUAACUCUCUUCCCAUUUUCAUUUUUUAUUUUCUCUUUUUGAUCCCUCCAGCACUCACUACAAUCAUAGCCUGCAUAAUCACAGUUUUACAACAUUUAUCCUCUCCUUUUAUAUGAAAUAAUUAAUUUACAAAGAUGUCAUGCUAGAAAAUCUCUGAGAAAUCCAAUUUUAGAGAACCUCCUCCUCUGUCUCUAAAAUUAUUAGUCAUAUUACACAUAUGCUGUUCUAUCUACUUAUUCAAAAACUGGUUACACUCUAGGGUCCUCCAUCUGCCAUACAGAAGUAAAAGUCUUUUCCGCAAUCUAAGGACAAGAGAUAUCAAGCACCUUCACAAAUGCCGGCAUUUGACAAUCAUAAUGGAAAUAGAAACAAAUGCACUUAGAGCUAUACCGCCAAAAAAUUCUUAAAUCAAACUAUCCACCAACUACAACUAUAUCGUCUUCAAUAAUUACCUACCCUUAUCACCUCCAAUGCUUUGAAGGGAUUUGAAAAGUGAAGCAACCAAAAUAUCAAAUAAGAUAAGAAAGCCAAAGAAAAACUAAAAAUAGCAUUUAAGAAAAAGGCCAUUGGUGGUGUAAUAAAUCUAUGGUGUGGGGCCAAGCACAUCAAGCUAUGAACAAACUACAAGAAAUAUGGUUAGGACAGAUGGAUAUAAUUUCCCAAUGUUUCACAAGAAUGCAAGUGGGUGCAACUCCACUCAAUUCAACUUGAACAGUUUUCAAUUAUUGAAAAUGCUAAAAUAAAUUCCUUUUUCUUGUGGCACUUAAUUCUACUCACAUAGUUUACAUGCAAUUUUUAUGCUCCUCUAAUAGGUCCUAUUUUAUGCCCAAAUUGCCCUUCAUUCAGUAAGAAAAUUGCUUUGAUAACUAAACCCAAAAUGAAACCAAUUCUGUGACUCCCCCAAACCCAUCAUCCUUUCAUGGUUUCACAGAUUUCAACAGCAAUUUGCCAACCUUCAAUGCAAAAACACUGAGUUAUAAAUAUAACAAAUAUGAUAGAAAAACAAAAUAAGCCUUAAGUGAGGCUUCUGCUCGCCUUAGAUAAUUUCCAUCCUUUUACACAAGAAGAAAACGAUUUAACUCACCCUUUGCCAAAUGACAUCUAUAACCAAUUAGGAGGUACGUAUAAUUCAGAAAUUUAGAGGUGUAGUCAUGGAGGUGUAAUUCUCUAACUUAAUGUGUGUGUGUGUGUGUGUG